GUGCCAGCAGCCGCGGUAAUACAGAGGUCUCAAGCGUUGUUCGGAUUCAUUGGGCGUAAAGGGUGCGUAGGUGGCAUGGUAAGUUGAAGGUGAAAUCUCGGAGCUCAACUCCGAAACUGCCUUCAAUACUGCUGUGCUUGAGGACUGUAGAGGAGAAUGGAAUUCACGGUGUAGCAGUGAAAUGCGUAGAUAUCGUGAGGAAGACCAGUGGCGAAGGCGAUUCUCUGGGCAGUUCCUGACACUGAGGCACGAAGGCUAGGGGAGCAAACGGGAUUAGAAACCCGCGUAGUCC
rnacentral:rRNA from 1 species